CUUAAAGGUGUAAGGAUUUUUAAUUAAAGAUGGGCUUGUAUGUGUGAAUAAUUGUGUGUUAAAUUAUAGGCUAUCGAAUUCGGUUGAGCCCAAUUAAAGUAAUCUAAUAAGGCUUCGAUUUUGGGCUUUAAUGUAUCAAGUUAAAUUAUGAGUUUACAUAUGUGUAGAGACCGGGCUCAAGUCCUAAUUCUAUGAUGGGCCGAAUUAGGUCAAAGGGCAUCCCUAUAUAAAUAGGUUAUGGUCCUCAGAUUACACGCAACGUAUUAUUCAUUCUCAACUGCAUCCCAUCACAGAGAGAAAAAGGAGACUACGUGUAGAUUUGGAAGAUCAUACCGCGAAAUUCAUAUUGCAUUAACCAUGUCUGAUUCAGGUAUGCUUCCGCUUUAAUUCUUGUAUUUCUUGAUGAUUUAACAUGAAAGAUCCAGUAAUUUAAAGCACUAAAUUAUCCAACAAGUGGUAUCGGAGCCUCUUCAUGUUAAAACAUUGAGAAUCAAAUAAUUUAUUUUGGUUCUUGCAAUAUUUUAUAAAGUUUUCAGAUUUGAUGAUUUACGAUUUAUAUUUUGUUGAAUUUGAAAACUUUUGCGGUAUAAUUUUUUGUUAUUUUCGUAAUUUGGAUUAAUGGUUGAGAAAAUUCAGAUUUGGAAUUCGAAUUUUGGUUUCAGAUUUUCAAAAAAAAAAAAAAAUUCAAGAAGAUCUGGCCGGUGGCGGGUGCGCCGCUGGCAUCUGCAGCGCAGCAGCCCAUGCCGCAGCAAAACGCAAUAGCAGCCAGGCGCUGUUGCCUCAUUGCAGCAACGUCGGGCUGCUGCUUGUGCGACGCCGGCGUGGGCCGAUGCUGCUGUUCUUGGCGGCGCCAGUGACCGGCUCCGCUAGGAGAAGAAAGAAAGAAAUUUUUUAUUUUUUUUUGUUUCAGUUUUCUGGAUUUUUUGGGGGCGGGGGCCUCUUCUGUAAAUUAGAUGAAUUGAGGUCCUUAGUUGCAAUUAGGGUUAGGGUUAUAAAAUUAAGGUUUUAGUCCCUAACCUUUAAAUUAUAUUAAGUUUUGGGCCUUUAAGUUUCGAAUUUAAUAAUUCAGUCCCUAAGGUUGUAAAAUUAAUUAAUUCGGGCCAUUAAAGUUCUAAAUUUAUAAUUAAAGCCCUCAAACUUUAAUUACUAGUUCAAAUUGGCCCCCUAAGUUCAUAAUUAAUUCAAAUUGACCCCUAAAGUUUCAAAUUUUUAAAAUUUGAUCCCUAAAGUUUUGAAUUGGUCAAUUUUGGCCCCUAAAGUUUCAAAAUUUGUUCUAAUUGAUCCUAUAAAGUAUUGAAUUAAUUAAUUAUGGUCCAUAAAGUUUCAAGUUUAUUAAUUUCAACCCCUAAAGUUUGGAAUUAAUUAAUUUUGCCUACUUAAAGUUUUGAAUUAUUAAUCCUAAGGCCCCUAAAGUUUAAAACUAAUCAAAAUAUGCAAAAUUGGUGAUUCUCUUUAUCAAAUUUUGGUACUAAACACUCUUUUAAGAGAUAUAAUAUUCGAAAAGAGUUAGUUAAUUGAACAUGUUGCCAAAGCAACCUCUCUUGUGAAAAUUGACUAACUUAGAAUGUUAAAAAGUGUUUGUGCAUGUGUUAUUCAUGGGAAUAUUGGUCGGCCCAAAGGAAGAUCAAUAUUUAGCCGAAUACACGUGCACCUGUGGUGAUAAACGUGUGACGAUUAUUUGAUUUAAUGUGUAAUCAAUAAAUCGAUCCAAAGAAAGAUUUAUUGAUUGACAUGUUGUUUUAUCAUCAAUGUUUGAUCACUACGCCAAGAGUACCGCUUACAAGUAAAUAUCUCUAUCUAAAGACUAAAUAUUGAUGUUGUGCUUGGUAUCUUGUGAUGGACCCUACCACUAUUUGAUAUUAUUAUUAUUUGCAUAUUAAAGAUAUUCAUGUGAGCUAUUCAUAAUAAAUGUUCUCUAAUUCAGUUUCAGGUUCUGCUGCUAAUAUCUCUGCUAGCAUCAAUUCAAUUCCAAUGUUAAAUGGCACAAACUUCAGGGCAUGGCAAGAGAACGUUAUGAUUGUUCUCGGAGUCAUGGACCUAGACCUUGCUUUACGGGUGGAUCAAUCUGCUGCACUUACUGAUAAGAGUACCUCUGAUGAUAAGAGGGAGAUGAAAAAGUGGGAACGAUUGAACCGCAUAAGCUUAAUGGUCAUGAAGCGUGCUAUUCCAGAAGCAUUCUGGCGCACUAUGUCCGAUAAGGUGACUACGACUAAGGGUUUCCUUGAGGACCUUGAGAAGAGGUUUGCCAAGAAUGAAAAGGCUGAAACAAGUACACUUUUGGCAAAUCUUGUCUCAAUGAGGUAUAAAUGGAAAGGAAACAUUCGGGAGUACAUUAUGGAAAUGUCUCACAUUACUUCAAAACUAAAGGCACUCAAGUUGGAUUAAUCUGAAGACUUGUUGGUGCACUUGGUUCUGAUAUCCCUUCUGGCACAUUUCAGUCAAUUCAAGGUGAGCUACAACUGUCAAAAGGACUCGUGGUCCCUUAAUGAGCUCAUCUUACACUGUGUUCAGGAAGAGGAAAUACUGAAGCAUGAGAAGACAGAAAGUGCUCAUUUAGCCACCACCUCUAAGGACAAAAGCAACAAGAAAAGGAAGAUUAAUAAAGAAGCUGCAAGUAUGGCACCGCAAAAGAAACAGCAUAAGGAACCAACUGAAAGUGGUUGUUUCUUCUGUGGAGCUGCAGGUCAUAAGAAGAAGAAUUGCACCAAUUACCACGCAUGGCGUGUAAAGAAAGGUACUCUUCUUCAUUUGGUUUGUUCUAAGGCUAAUUUAACUUUGGUACCUAGACAUACAUGGUGGAUAGAUUCUGGUGCAACAACUCACAUCAGUAUGUCUAUGCAGGGUUGCCUGAGUUGCCGAAAACCAAGUGAUGAUGAAAGAUACAUCUAUGCAGGCGACGACAAUAGAAUGAAAGUAGAGGCAAUAGGAAAAUUUAGAUUAUUGUUAAAGAUUGAAUUUUAUUUGGAUCUUGUUGAGACAUUUAUUGUACCGUCUUUUAGACGGAAUUUGAUUUCUAUUUCUGUUUUGGACAAAUUUGGUUAUACUUGUUCUUUUGGAAAUGGAAAAUUUAGUUUGUUUCAUGAUUCAAAAUUGGUUGGUUCCGGUUCUUUAUCAGGUUACGAUAAUCUUUAUUCAAUUGAUACAAUUGCUUCUUAUAAUGAAACCUUGCAUGUAAGUACUUCAGGUGUAAAGCGAAAAUUAAACGACGAGAAUUCUGCCUCGUUGUGGCACAAGAGAUUAGGUCACAUUUUCAAAAGGAGAAUUGAGAGACUUGUGUCUGACGGGAUUCUCGACCCUCUUGACUUCACAAAUUAUGAUUUGUGUGUCAACUGUCUAAAGGGAAAACAAACCAAUAAAAGGAGAUUUCAAGCCAAUAGGACUUCGGACGUCUUAGAAUUUAUACAUACAGAUAUUUGUGGAUCAUUCCCUACGGGUUCUUGGAAUGGUCAACAAUAUUUUAUAACGUUCAUAGACGAAUUUUUAAGAUAUGGCUACAUAUAUCUCAUUCAUGAAAAAUCACAGUCACUGGAUGUGUUCAAAAACUAUAAAACUGAAAUUGAGAACCAACUCGGCAAAAGGAUUAAAAGCGUCAGAUCUGACCGUGGGGGUGAAUACUAUGGCAGAUAUGACAGUUCAGGUGAACAGCGUUCAGGACCAUUUGCUAAAUUCCUAGAGGAAUGCGGUAUCAUCCCACAGUACACUAUUCCCGGUUCGCCCACUAUGAAUGGUGUUGCUAAAAGAUGAAACAGAACACUUAAGGACAUGGUGAGGAGUAUGAUUAAUCAUUCUACCUUACCAGAAUCUCUCUGGGGUGAAGUAUUAAAGACUGCAGCUUAUAUACUCAACAAAGUUCCAACUAAGGCCAUUGAUAAAAUCCCAUAUGAGCUUUGGAUAGGCAAGAAGCCUAGUUUGAAGCAUAUACAUAUUUAGGGGUGUCCAGCUGAGGCAAGGCUCUAUAAGCCAAAUGAAAAGAAACUGGAUGCAAGGACCAUCACUUGCUAUUUCAUUGGAUAUUCUAAAAGGUCCAGGGGUUACAAGUUUUAUGAUCCCACAACUGAGGCAAUUUUCGAGAUAGGAAAUGCUAGGUUCUUUGAGGAUGUUGAGUUUGUGGAGAGAAGAAAGGGUUACAGGCUUUGUCUUUGAGGAGGAAUAUGUUGAAAUUCCUCUAAUUGCCAUUGAUAAUGAUCAGGUUUCUAUCCCUGAUAUUGUUCAAGAAGCAACUCUGGACCAAGACAAUGUCAUACCUCCCUCUCAAGAUCAACAAAUUGUUCUAGAAGAACAAACUCUACAGCCUCAAGAACCAAUGCCAUUAAGAAGAUCCACUAGUGAGAGAAGAAGUGCGGUUUCGAAUGAUUACAUCGUAUUUCUUCAAGAACAUAAAGUUGACAUUGGAAUGGUGGAAGAUGAUCCGAUCAACUUCUGUCAAGUCAUGGAAAGUUCUAACUCUCAAAAGUGGCUUGAUGCUAUGAAUGAAGAGAUAAAAUCCAUGAAGGAUAAUGACGUAUGGGACCUCGUUCCAUUGCCUGAAGGUGCGAAACCCAUUGGUUGCAAAUGGAUAUUUAAGACCAAGAGUGAUUCAAAAGGUGAUGUAGAAAGGUAUAAGGCUCGUCUUGUCGCAAAGGGCUUUACACAGAAAGAAGGCAUCGAUUAUAAAGAGACUUUCUCUCCGGUUUCUUCAAAAGACUCUUUCAGGACUAUAAUGGCAUUGGUAGCGCAUUUCAAUCUUGAGCUACAUCAGAUGGAUGUUAAGACAGUGUUUCUCAAUGGCGACAUAGAUGAAACAAUUUAUAUGGUACAACCAGAAAACUUUGUAUCGGACGAUUCAAAGCAAAUGGUUUGUAAAUUAAAGAAAUCCAUCUAUGGACUCAAACAGGCAUCUCGUCAAUGGUAUUACAAGUUUCAUCAGGUGAUCAUCUCAUUAGGUUUUGAGAUGAAUUUGGUCGAUGAUUGUAUAUACCACAAGUUCAGUGGGAGCAAGUAUAUUUUUCUAGUUUUAUAUGUCGAUGACAUAUUGCUUGCCAGCAACGAUAUAGGCUUAUUGCACGAAACCAAGAGAUUUCUAGCAAAGAAUUUUGAGAUGAAAGAUCUUGGUGAUGCCUCUUUUGUAUUAGGAAUUCAGAUACACCGAAAUCGUUCUCGAGGUAUUCUUGGAUUAUCACAAAAGAGCUAUAUCGAAAAGGUACUUAGAAGAUAUAGCAUGCAAGAUUGUAAACCAUGUGACACCCCUGUGGCUAAAGGAGACAAGUUCAGCUUAAGUCUGUGCCCUAAAAAUGACUUGGAAAUUAAAGAAAUGUAGAAGAUUCCUUAUUCCUCAGCUAUAGGGAGUCUGAUGUAUGCUCAGGUUUGUACGCGUCCGGAUAUAGCGUACAUUGUUGGGAUGCUAGGGAGAUAUUUAAGUAACCCGGGAAUAGAUCAUUGGAAAGUAGCCAAACGGGUCAUGCGGCAUUUACAGAGAACAAAAGACUACAUGCUCACAUACAGAAGAUCGGAUCAGUUGGAGAUCAUCGGUUAUUCUGAUUCCGAUUUCUCGGGAUGCCAAGAUUGUAGGAGAUCCACUUCAGGCUAUAUUUACCUACUUGCUGGAGGUGCUAUUUCCUGGAAGAGUGCCAAGCAGACACUCAUAGCUACUUCCACCAUGGCAGCGGAGUUUAUAGCGUGUUAUGAGGCAUCAAAUCAUGGAAUAUGGCUGCAUAAUUUUUGUCACUGGGUUGCGUAUUGUGGACAAUAUAGAAAGACCACUUAAGAUAUUUUGUGACAAUAAAUCGGCAGUGUUGUAGUCUAAUAACAACAGGAGCUCGACGAAGUCAAAACACAUAGAGAUCAAGUUCCUUGCUGUUAAAGAAAGAGUUCAGAGUGGACAGGUGUCAAUAGAGCAUAUUGGGACAAACUCCAUAGUUGCGGAUCCGCUUACUAAGGGAUUGAUACCCAAGGUCUUUCAUGAGCACACUGCUCAUAUGGGUGUAAUGUCUCUUGAGGAUAUCUAGUUUCAGUGGGAGUUUGUAUUUUUUGACUUUUCAUAUUGGACACAUGUACUGUUAUUUUGGAUACGGUUUAAAGUUAAAGUUAUUUUCAAUUAUGAAGUUAUUUGGUUAAUUAUCUCUGAACUUGUUUAAAAUGAUCUUACUAAGGUAUUAAGGUGGACCAGUUGGAAAUAGGCAUGUUACAAAUCACAUUACAUGUAAUUUCCAUGCUACACAUCCAUGCUUGAUUCAUGUCAUUCAGUUAUAUUGAUAUAUGUGACCAUUGAUGGGUUUAGCUACGUGAAAGUAGCGAAAGCCGCUUUGGCCGCUUUGAUCCUAUGUUGAUAUGAUUGAUGGACGGGAUUGUUUGGGGAUACAUUCGGUAAUGAUAGCAAAAUUCUGAGCACUCAUAAGGUUAUGUUUAAUGCACAAUUAUAAGGUAACACAUAUAGCCCAAGUGGGAGAUUGUAAGGAUUUUUAAUUAAAGAUGGGUUUGUAUGUGUGAAUAAUUGUGCGUUAAAUUAUAGGCUAUCGAGUUCAGUUGAGCCCAAUUAAAGUGAUCUAAUAAGGCUUCAAUUUUGAGCUUUAAUGUAUCCAGUUAAAGUAUGGGUUUACAUAUGUGUGGAGACUGGGUCCAAGUCCUAAUUCUAUGAUGGGCCGAAUUAGGUCAAAGGGCAUCCCUAUAUAAAUAGGUUAUGGUUCCCAGAUCACACACAACGUAUUAUUCAUUCUCUACUGCAUCCCAUCACAGAGAGGAAAAGGAGACUACGUGUAGAUUUGGAAGACCAUAACGUGAAAUUCAUAUUGCAUUAACCAUGUCUGAUUCAGGUAUGCUUCCGCUUUAAUUCUUGUAUUUCUUGAUGAUUUAACAUGAAAGAUCCAGUAAUUUAAAGCACUAAAUUAUCCAACAAAAGGGUCAUCCGGCAAAGGGUUUGAAAGAUUGAUCAAGCUUUUUAGAGAUUCAAACACUAAGCACUUGUUUGAUUCUCUAUGAACUCAAGAACACAGUGGAAAAGGAAGAAGAUGGUUUUGUUUUUCUUUCUUCUCUCUUGUUUGAUCUUAUAAACAUGAAUUAUAAGUGUUUUUUUCAUUCUCUUUUGAUGAUCAAAAACUAACUAUUUAUAGUUAUGCAACAUAGCUUCACGAAGUGGUGCCAAAAUUAAAUGAAAGGCUGCCAAAAAACCACCCAAACCAACUCCAACGGUCACUAAACUUAUACCAUGCGACCGCAUGGUGAAAAUCCAUGAACUGAGGCCAUUUGCCCUCGGUUGGUUGCCAUGCGAUCGCAUGGUUUUUUGAACAACUAUCACAAUCCCUAAUAGAGUGAAUAAGAUUGUAUUUUUAAUGCUGAUUACUCAUGAUUAUUUGCUAAUAUACAAGUAUAUUUGGGAUUAAUAAUGAUAUUUUUAUAUAGUUGAAUGAAGGUCAAUCCUAAUUGUGGUGUUUACAAUUUUAUUGUAGAAAUGGAGUCCAAAAAUAACAAAGUUCAAGGCCCAUAAGAGAGGACUCAAUUCAAGUGGACUUAACCCAGCCCAAUCAAAAUAAAAUAGAUUGGAAAGAUUAAUGAAGGGAGCAAAAUCUAUGGAAGACGUCUCUUGCUGUGAAGAAAUCCCGAAUUGGAAACACAUCUGUACUGCCCUUCGUAUUUUCACCAUAUCUCCCUCAUCCGAUGUCAUAUUGAGCUGAUUCAAGAGGCCUUGGAAAGAUAAUUUAACGUGCUACAAUUUCUCAUGAAAUAGAGAUUUUGAAAUUCUCACGUUUUCUAAGUGAAAAAUGGCCCACAAUCCAAGGAUAAAAAUCUGUGAAUUGAAGAGGCGAAUUCGGGAUUGAUUCUUUCUUUUCCUGGUGAAGAUGGCUUGAAAGGAGUGGAAGAGGAAAAAAAAAAGCAGGGGACGACCAAGAAGGCUAGGACCUAGGUGGAUCGAUUCUUUUUCUUCCCUUUUGGCUAUCAAAAGAGGGAAGCCACUCCAAGAAAACGGGAGACCAGAUUCACCGAGUUUUUCCUUCUUACCAUCUCUUUCAAUUUCUUGAUGUUAACUCUUUAUUUAAACUUUUCUUCAAUUUUAGCAUGAAUUAAUUUCUAUCUUCUAGAAUUUGAGAUGUAGCCUAACUACGAUUAUGUGAAUCUUCCUUUACUUGAAUUAAUUGGUAUUUGUUCGAAUUGUUGAGUAUUUCAUUUUGGACUUAAUGCUUGUGAAUUGACUAAUCACCAUUCAUUUGAGUUGGGAUUCAAUUUGAGACAGAGAAAUAAUAAUUGUUUCAGCCAAUGUUUGAGAUGCCACAUGAAUUCUGUAGGAUAGAGAUAUCUAUGGACUUGUGUAAUCUUUAUGGGUUUAUUUUUGUUCUUAAUGAAUCUUGACAGGCUUAGAAUUUUCACAAAGAUAUAGAAAAUUUUCUUGUUGAGAUAUUUCGUUAAUGCUUUAGAAAGAUUAAUGAAUAAAUUAGAAAGACUUGAUUAUCAACAAUUAGGAAUACUUACAAUUAAUUCAAUUAGGAUAUUCACAUGAGUAGUUAUGGUGAAUCGAAAACUUUAGAGUAUUGUUUUCUUGAUUUUAACUUGCUUGUUCAAUUCAUCUUAGUUUAAGCUUUCUGGUUUAAUAAUUCAUUUACAUUCGAAUUGUCAAAUAGAUCAUCAUUCAACAAAUUUUGAUAAUUAUUCGUAAUUUUUCAUUCCUCAUGAGACGAUACUCUUACUCAUUCACUUUAUUACUUGUUGUGACUCGUGCACUUGUGAUUUCAACCAACAAGUUUUUGGUGCCGUUGUCGGGGAAUUAGAUAAAAUUAUUGAUAAUAUCAAUACUAGUUAAAUUUGAUCUAAUUUGAUUUAUUUUUUUUUAUUUCCAGGUUUUGCUUAGUACAUGAGAAGCAAAAAGAGCUUGGAAUUGCUGCCUUAUGAUCCAGAAAUUGAAAAAACAGCAAAAAGACUGAGGAAAAAGUAGCGAGAAGCUCGAAAAAAUUCAAACACUAUGGCAGACAACGAGAAUCCAAGACAUGACACACGAGCUCUAAGGGAUUUUGCUCUACCACAGGUCACAGGAAUCAAUUCAGUCAUUAGGAAACCUAGUAUUGCAGCCAACAACUUUGAGAUUAAGCCAGCUAUCCUACAAAUGAUCCAAACAUCAAUUCAAUUCCAUGGAUUUCCGAGUGAUGAUCCCAAUGCCCAUAUAGCAAGUUUUCUGGAAGUUUGUGACACCUUCAAGCAAAAUGGUCUUACUGAUGAUGCCAUUCGCCUCCGGCUAUCUCCUUUCUGUCUUCGAGAUAGAGCAAAAAGUUGGCUAAAUUCAUUACCUGCAGAUUCAAUCACUAGUUGUGAAGAUUUAGAUCAGAAGUUUCUCGCUAAAUUUUUUCCACCAGCAAAGAUGUGCAAUGAAAUUUCAAAUUUUUCUCAAUUGGAGGGUGAAACACUUUACGAGGCUUGGGAGCGAUAUAAAGACCUACUCAGGCGAUGCCCUCACGAUGGAUUGUCGAAGUGGAUGCAAGUUCAGAACUUCUAUAAUGGACUUGCUGCCUCUAUAAGAACUCUAAUAGAUGCUUCUUCAGGAAGAGCAUUUAUGGGCAAAUCCCUAGACGAUGCAUAUGAUCUGUUGGAGGAGAUGGCGAUGAACAACUAUCAAUGGCCAAAUGAGAGAAUUUUACCGAAGAAAGAAGUAGGAGUGCAUGAGGUUGAAGCUAUCACUACCUUGAUAGCUCAAGUCCAUAAUCUUACUCAACAAUUGAAAACCAACCAACUGACAGCAAAUGCCAUUCAAUUGACACCACCGGCUUGUGAUUUUUGUCAUGGAAACCAUCCGAGUGAAGAAUGUCAAGUGGGAAAUCCUUUCUUUCAAUCCCAAGCGGAGCAAGCACACUUUGUUGCAAAUUAAAAUCGGCAAAACAAUCCAUAUAGUGCAACAUACAACCCUGGAUGGAAAAAUCACCCCAAUUUUUCAUGGAAUAAUCAGAAUGCAUUGAAACCUCCACAUGGUUCGUCAUCUAGUGAUCCGCCGAAAGAGAAGUCAGCACUUGAAGAAGCAAUGGCACAAUUAGCAACUAACACCAACAGAUUUAUAACAGAUACUAAGACCAAUUUUCAGAAUCUUCGAUAUGGAAUUUAGAAGUCCAUGUCGGUUAAUUGGCUAAUAUGUUAACUCGGAGACAACAAGGAAACUUGCCUAGCACGAUUGAAGUGAAUCCAAAGGAACAGUUCAAGGCAAUCACUUUGAGAAAUGGAAAAGAGUUAGAAGCUCCAAUUACUAGUGAAAAGUUGAAAAAGAAGAUCAAGAGAUGCAACUCCACACACCAACGCUUAGCGAGGAGAUUUCUGACAAUCAACCAAUCCCACCACAGGAUCUAUCACCAAAAGUUCCAUUACCUCAACGACUCAAAAAGAAUAAGCUUGAUAAGCAAUUUUCUAAAUUUUUAGAUGUGUUUGAAAAAUUGCAUGUUAACAUUCCUUUUGCAGAAGCUCUCAAUCAAAUGCCAAGUUAUGUGAAAUUUAUGAAGGACAUCUUGUCAAAUAAGAGGGGAUUGGAAGAAUAUGAGACAGUAGCCCUUACUGAAGAGUGCAGUGCAAUUCUACAAAAGAAAUUGCCUCCAAAGCUCAAGGAUCCAGGGAGUUUUACUAUCCCUUGUUCAAUUGGAAAUUCUAUGUUUGAAAGAGCUUUAUGUAACUUAGGUGCAAGUAUUAAUCUUAUGCCUUUGUCUAUUUUUAGGAAACUUGGACUAGGUGAGGCGAGACCUACUACAGUAUCAUUGCAAUUAGCGGAUCGCUCAAUAAAACACCCAAGGAAAAUUAUUGAGGAUGCGCUUGUUAAGGUGGACAAGUUUAUUCUUCCAGCCGACUUCCUCAUUCUAGACCUGGAGGAGGAUAGGGAAAUUCCUAUCAUUCUUGGCAUACUAUUCUUAGCUGCUGGCUGAGCUCUAAUUGAUGUCCAAAGGGGAGAAUUAUGGUUGAGAGUACAAGAGGAGGAGGUAACCUUUAAUGUUUUUGAUGCCAUCAAGUAUCCGGAUACAAGUGAGAGUUGUUUCAGCAUCCGAGCAAUCGACUCCUUGGUCACUGAAGUAUUUAACCAACAAAAGGAGUCGUUGGAAGUUUGUUUGGUUAAUCCCAAUCCGACUAUGGUGGAGGAUCCAGAAGUGUUAGAAUAUGCUCUGUGGAUGGAUUCUUUUGGUCCUAACCGUGAAAAUAUUUUGAAGAUUUGGGACAUGGAACAUCACGGCCCCUUCCAUCUAUUGAGAAACCUCCCACAUUGGAGCUUAAGCCCUUACCUGAACAUCUUCAAUAUGCGUCUCUUGGUGAAUCAUCUACUCUUCCGAUAAUUAUUUCAUCCAAGCUUUCGAUUGAAGAAGAAGAAAAGUUGUUAAGAGUGCUUAGAGAACAUAAGGCAGCUAUUGGAUGGAUACUUGCAGAUAUCAAGGGAAUUAGCCCUUCUAUUUGUAUGCACCGAAUUUUGUUGGAGGAAGAUUGCAAGCCAACGAUGGAGCAUCAAAGAAGACUCAAUCCGACAAUGAAGGAAGUGGUGCGUAAAGAGGUCUUAAAAUGGUUAGAUGCUGGAGUGACUUACCCAAUUUCUGAUAGCUCAUAGAUCAGUCCUGUGCAAGUAGUACCAAAAAAGGGAGGAAUGACAGUGGUGAAGAAUGCUAACAAUGAGUUGAUCCCUACAAGAAUAGUUACCGGAUGGAGAAUUUGCAUGGAUUAUUGAAAAUUGAACAAAGCCACUCGGAAGGACCACUUCCCCUUACCAUUCAUUGAUGAAAUGUUGGAUAGGCUAGCCGGGCAUGAGUACUAUUGCUUCCUAGAUGGCUAUUCGGGGUAUAAUCAAAUAGCCAUAGCACCAGAGGACCAAGAGAAGACCACCUUCAUAUGCCUUUAUAUCACUUCCACCUUCCGUCGAAUGCCAUUUGGACUUUGCAAUGUGCCAGCCACCUUCCAAAGGUGUAUGAUGUCAAUCUUUUCAGAUAUGGUAGAGCGGAUUAUUGAAAUUUUCAUGGAUGAACUUUCUGUAUUAGGAUCGUCUUUUGAUGAUUGUCUUGGGAAUUUGGCGUUAGUUUUGAAGAGAUGUGAAGAAACUAACCUUGUACUUAAUUGGGAAAAGUGUCACUUCAUGGUAAAAGAGGGAAUUGUCUUGGGUCAUCGGAUCUCUUCAAAGGGAAUUGAAGUGGAUAGAGCAAAAAUUGAGACAAUCGAGAAGCUUCCACCACCAACAAUAAUAAAAGGAGUACGGAGCUUUCUUGGAUAUGCCGAAUUUUAUAGAAGAUUUAUUAAAGACUUUUCCAAGAUCUCCAAACCCCUUUGUAGCUUGCUUGUGAAAGAAACACCUUUUGUGUUUGAUGAAGAAUGUGAUAAGGCGUUAUUGCUACUAAAAGAGAAGCUUGUGUCUGCUUUGAUUGUUAUAGCUCCGGAUUGAGAUCUACCGUUUGAAUUGAUGUGCAAUGCAAGUGACUAUGUGAUUGGUGCGGUAUUGGGGCAGCGAAGGAACAAACGGUUUCAUACCAUUUACUAUGCUAGUAGAACCCUUAAUGAUGCCCAACUCAACUAUGCCACCACUGAGAAGGAACUUCUUGCUAUAGUCUUCGCUUUUGACAAGUUUCGACCAUAUCUCAUUGGGAAUAAGGUGAUAGUCUACACUGAUCAUUCCGCAAUUAAAUACCUUAUCAUAAAGAAGGAAGCCAAGCCAAGACUCAUCCGUUGUGUUCUCUUGCUACAAAAAUUUCAUAUUGAGAUUAAAGACAAGAAGGGAACUGAAAAUAUAGUGGCAGAUCAUCUCUCACUGCUAGAGUCAUAGGAGCAACUUGAGUCCCAACAACUGCCCAUAGAUGAUAAAUUCCUGGAUGAGCAACUUUUAGCUAUUUCUUCUAACAAUCCUUUACCAUGGUAUGCAGAUUAUGUCAAUUUUCUUGCAGAAAAAAUCAUUCUCUCCAACUUUUCUAUCAACAAAAGAAGAAAUUUCUGUCGAAAGUAAAGCAUUACUAUUAGGAAGAACCAAUACUCUACAGGCUUUGUGUGGACCAAAUAAUCAGGCGAUGUGCUCCGAAAGAGGAGAUGACAGAUAUUUUGAUGCAUUACCAUACACUAGAAUGUGGAGGGCAUUUCGGACCUCAUCGGACAGCAGCUAAAGUUCUCCAAUCCGAAUUUUAUUGGCCAACAUUUUUCAAGGAUUCUCAUACUUUUAUUGCCUCUUGUGAUAGAUGCCAAUGCUCCGGGAACAUAUCUAAAAUAAAUGAAAUGCCUUUGUAGAAUAUUCUAGAGGUGGAGUUGUUUGAUGUUUGGGGUAUUGACUUCAUGGGACCCAUUCCUUCAUCCUACAACAACAAAUAUAUUCUUCUAGCAGUGGAUUAUGUAUCUAAUUGGGUAGAGGAAAUCGUAACUCCUACUAAUGAUGGAAAAGUGGUGCAGAAUUUUCUUCGGAAGAAUAUUUUUUCCAGAUUUGGGACUCCUAGGGCCAUUAUUAGCGAUGAAGGGACUCACUUUUGUAACAAGCAGUUUAAAGGUCUAUUAUUAAAAUAUGGAGUAAGACAUCUAAGAGCAUUGGCUUAUCACCCUCACACAAAUGGACAAGCGGAGAUAUCAAAUAGGGAGGUAAAGCAAAUUCUAGAGAAAACAGUUAACAAUUCUCGAAAAGAUUGGGCCAAAAAGUUAGAUGAUGCGCUAUGGGCUUAUCGGACAGCAUACAAAACACCUUUGAGAAUGUCUCCUUAUUGGUUAGUCUAUGGAAAAACAUGCCACCUUCCUGUAGAGCUCGAGCACAAAGCUUAUUUGGCGAUGAAGCAACUAAACAUGGAUCUUCAAGCAGCUGGUGAAAAGCGUUGUUUGCAAAUUAAUAAGAUGGACGAGUUUCGUAAUGAAGCUUAUGAGAAUGCAAGGAUUUACAAGGAAUGGACCAAGGCUUGGCAUGAUAAGCACAUCUCAAAGAAAGAGUUUCUACCUGGACAACAAGUUUUACUUUACAAUUCAAGGCUUCGUCUUUUUCCAAGAAAGCUCAAAUCUCGAUGGUCAGGCCCAUUCACAGUUGUUAAAGUUUUUCCCCAUGGAGCAGUGGAAAUCACUCAUGAUGAGAAGGGGACAUUUAAAGUGAAUGGACAACGUUUGAAGCUUUAUUUAAGUGGAGAAUUUGACAACAAGAAGACCACCAUUCUUCUUAAUCCGGCCUAGAAGAAGAGCAACAGUCAAGCUGCUGACUAUAAUUAAGUGCUUCUUGGGAGGCAACCCAAGCAUUCAAACCUCUGUUUUGCUUUUUUUUUUAUUCCCUUGCAAUUUGUUUAAUUUUAUAUAUUCUUCUUUUCGUUAAUUACUUUGUGUGUUUUCUGAUUUCAAUUUAUUUAUUUAUUUUGGGUGUGGCAGUGACGCAGUUCUCCACCUUCUUGCUCCAGUACUUGAAUGCAUUGAUGAGGAUGUCAAGAGAGAUGAAACUUGAUCCAUCUUCACCAAUGAACAGGGAAGUUUCUUCUUAUCAUUUUUUUCCCUUUCUUUGUUCCACAUUGAGGACAAUGUUAGGUUUUAGUUGGGGAGGGGGGUGUUGAGCAUGAAUAUAUGCAUUCUUGUUUGCAUGAAUUUAGAUUUGGUAUCAUGAAUGCAUUCCAAUUUACAUGAAUUCAGCUUUGGUAUUUUGGCUUGAUUACAAUGUAUUUUUGCUUGAGUCAAUAGUGCUAUCUGAAUAUGAUAUUGAAACACCUCAGAAAUUUUGAAUUCCUAUUUGCAUGAAUUUAGAUUUGGUAUCAUGAAUGCAUUCCAAUUUACAUGAAUUCAUCUUUGGCAUUUUGGCUUGAUUACAAUGUAUUUUUGCUUGAGUCAAUAGUGCUAUCUGAGUAAGAUAUUGAAAUACCUUAGAAAUUUUUUCUUUUCAUACACGUAAACUAAGCUCAUGUGGUUUGAUGGAUGUGGAACUCAUACAAUUAGAGAACACUCAAAUUAAAGUUGCAACCUUUUACACUUGUGAGCAAUUGGGCCAUUCUCAUUUUUCUGAGAGAUGUUAUCAUAUUCUUAAUAUUACCUUCAGCAUUGUCUCGUUACAUGAUCUCAUUAUUCCCCAAAUUUGGUUAACUAAUGGGAAUGCCAUUACACGGUUUGUGGUAUGUUGGUUUGAUUAUACUCAGGAAAUGAUGAAGGUCAAUUUAGGAUGUAGUUUAAGCUUUUCAAGCCGACCAAUGUCUCAUUGAAUAUAAGUCACUUUGAACUAAAAUCUCUAAGCCAUUUAUUUCCUCACCCACUCCACAUUGGAGGUUGAGCCUAAGUUAAACAUCUCCUUUACCUUCAAAUAUCAAGUAUGUAGUAUAGAUUGUGGAACAUGCUGUUGAAAAAAAAAAUCAGAAAUGAAUGAAGAAAGGGUAUGAAAAAUAUUUUAGAGCAAGGUGUGUUGUUGCAAAAAUCCCAAAAAAAAAAAAAAAAUCUAUUUUUUUACCAUUGGACACAAUUGCAGUUGCAUACUUUGACCAAAUGUCUCACAUGUGGAGCCCCCUUGGUGGAAAAAUGGGCACCAGACAACCUUUAAGUCUACGAGUUGAUGAAGAUCCUCAAUAUAUACUUGAGAAUUAAUAUUUUUCUUCAAUAUUCUUAUCCUUCCUUUCAAUUUCACCCCAGUCAUAUUACAACCCUUUAUUGACUUUUUUUUAUCCUAAGUGGGUUAGUGGUUAGAAUGGUUGAGUUCCUAUUAGUUGGCAUCCUCUCAUGAGAUCAAUUUUGUUAUUUCACUCUUUUGCUCCUAUUUCACUCAUUUGCCCGCAGACAAUUAUUCCUUCCAUAUAUUUGAGUGGCAAUUUUUUUCAACCUUCAUUACCUUUGUUGGCAAUAGUUUUUUUUUUUUUUUGGUCGAAUACUACACUUAAUAUUUGCAAAAAUAACUUUUUUCUGGGAUGUUCUCAACAUUGUAUGAGUUUUGCUUCGAUGGAAAGAUGUUGAAGAGCUUAACACACACACACACACACGAGUUCUAGGAGUGUGCUUUGACAAACAAACUUUGAUAGCAUUGUUGAUCUCUGGUAAAUGCUUUGUUUGAUGAGCCUAAAUAUUUUUGCUUAAUUCGUAUAAAAGGAUUUUCACUUGGGACAGGUAGCAAUACUCUUUCUUCGCUUGAAUUGCUAGGAACUAGCAACACGCUAGUUGGGGGGUGUGAUAGAGUGAAUAAGAUUGCAUUUUUAAUGCUGAUUGCUCAUGAUUAUCUGUUAAUAUACAAGUAUAUUUGGGAUUAAUAAUGAUAUUUUUAUAUAGUUGAAUGAAGGUCAAUCCUAAUUGUGGUGUUUACAAUUUUAUUGUAGAAAUGGAGUCCAAAAAUAACAAAGUUCAAGGCCCAUAAGAGAGGACUCAAUUCAAGUGGACUUAACCCAGCCCAAUCAAAAUAAAAUAGAUUGGAAAGAUUAACGAAGGGAGCAAAAUCUGUGGAAGACGUCUCUUGCUGUGAAGAAAUCCCGAAUUGGAAACACAUCUGUACUGCCCUUCGUAUUUUCACCAUAUCUCCCUCAUCUGAUGUCGUAUUGAGCUGAUUCAAGAGGCCUUGGAAAGCUAAUUUAACGUGCUACAAUUUCUCAUGAAAUAGAGAUUUUGAAAUUCUCACGUUUUCUAAGUGAAAAACGGCCCACAAUCCAAGGCUAAAAAUCUGCCGAGUUGAAGAGGCGAAUUGGGGAUUGAUUCUUUCUUUUCUUGGUGAAGAUGGCUUGAAAGGAGUUGAAGAGGGAAAAAAAGCAGAGGACGACCAAGAAGGCUGGGACCAAGGUGGAUCGAUUCUUUUUCUUCCUUUUUGGCUAUCAAAAGAGGGAAGCCACUUCAAGGAAACAUGAGACCAGAUUCACUGAGUUUUUCCUUCUUCCCAUCUCUUUCAAUUUCUUGAUGUUAACUCUUUAUUUAAACUUUUCUUUAAUUUUAGCAUGAAUUAAUUUCUAUCUUUUAGAGUUUGAGAUGUAGCCUAACUAAAAUUAUGUGAAUCUUCCUUUACUUGAAUUAACUGAUAUUUGUUCCAAUUGUUGAGUAUUUCAUUUUGGACUUAAUGCUUGUGAAUUGACUAAUCACCAUUCAUUUGAGUUGGGAUUCAAUUUGAGACAGAGAAGUAAUAAUUGUUUCAGCCAACGUUUGAGAUAUCACAUGAAUUUUGUAGGAUAGAGAUAUCUAUGGACUUGUGUAAUCUUUAUGGGUUUAUUUUUGUUCUUAAUGAAUCUUGACAAGCUUAGAAUUUUCACAGAGAUGUAGAAAAUUUUCUUGUUGAGAUAUUUUUUUAAUGCUUAAGAAAGAUUAAUAAGUAAAUUAGAAAGACUUGAUUAUCAACAAUUAGGAACACUUACAAUUAAUUCAAUUAGAAUAUUCACAUAUGAGUAGUUAUGGUGAAUCGAAAAAUCUAGAGUAUUGUUUUCUAAAACUUGUUGGUUGAAAUUGCAAGUGCACGAGUCCUAAAAGUAAUAAAGUGAAUGAGUAAGAGUAUCAUCCCACGAGGAAUGAAAAAUUACAAAUAAUUAUCAAAAUUUAUUAAAUGAUGAUCUAUUUGACAAUUCGAAUGUAAAUGAAUUAUUAAACCAAAAAGUUUAAACUAAGAUGAAUUGAACAAGCAAGUUAAAAUCAAGAAAACAAUACUCUAGAGUUUUCGAUUCACCAUAAAUACUCAUAUGUGAAUAUCCUAAUUGAAUUAAUUGUAAGUGUUCCUAAUUGUUGAUAAUCAAGUCUUUCUAAUUUAUUCAUUAAUCUUUCUAAAACAUUAACGAAAUAUCUCAACAAGAAAAUUUUCUACAUCUCUAUGAAAAUUCUAAGCCUGUCAAGAUUCAUUAAAAACAAAAAUAAACCCAUAAAGAUUACACAAGUCCAUAGAUAUAUCUAUCCUACAAAAUUCCUGUGGUAUCUCAAACAUUAGCUGAAACAAUUAUUACUUCUCUGUCUCAAAUUGAAUCCCAACUCAAGUGAAUGGUGAUCAGUCAAUUCACAAGCAUUAAGUUCAGAAUGAAAUACUCAACAAUUGGAACAAAUACCAAUUAAUUCAAGUAAAGGAAGAUUCACAUAAUCGUAGUUAGGCUACAUCUCAAAUUCUAGAAGAUAUAAAUUAAUUCAUGCUAAAAUUGAAGAAAAGUUUAAAUAAAGAGUUAACAUCAAGAAAUUGAAAGAGAUGGAAAGAAGGAAAAACUCAGUGAAUCUGGUCUCCCGUUUCCUUGGAGUGGCUUCCCUCUUUUGAUAGCCAAAAAGGAAGAAAAAGAAUCGAUCCACCUUGGUCCCAGCCUUCUUGGUCGUCCUCUGCUUUUUUUUCCUCUUCCACUCCUUUCAAGCCAUCUUCACCAGGAAAAGAAAGAAUCAAUCCCGAAUUCACCACUUCAAUUCGACAUAUUUUUAGCCUUGGAUUGUGGGCCUUUUUCACUUAGAAAACGUGAGAAUUUCAAAAUCUCUAUUUCAGGAGAAAUUGUAGCAUGUUAAAUUAGCUUUCCAAGGCCUCUUGAAUUAGCUCAAUACAACAUCGGAUGAGGGAGAUAUGGUGAAAUACGAAGGGCAGUACAGAUGUGUUUUCUAGGGAUGGCAAUUUGAACCGUCAAAAUCGAAAACCGCGGUUAACUGAACCGAAUGGGGCGAAAAAAACCGAACCGAUGGUGCAAUGGGGCGGAUAUGGUUUUUAUUUUAAUGAACCGGUUCUUGGCGGUGCGGGUAUGGUAUUUACGCCGUCGAACUGAAAUCGAACCGAUUACCCGCUAAAAAAAAAACAAAAAAAAAUUGAAUUGAUUAUUGGGUUUUACACUACUUUUCUAUCUAGCCCAAAACAAAAUCCCCCUCUCCCCAAUUACAUCUAUAUGACUCAGUCGGCCAACCCACUUAUCAUUAGCCCAUAAUAAUAGUAUCAGUAUGACAUUAUAUAAAUGCAAAUCUUACUCUCCACAAACCACAAACUCACGCACGGCUCCUUUUAUUGUUAAUUUUUUUCUAUUGUGUGUAGAAAAUUCUACUUCUUCAUCAUACUCUAGAGCUUGUGCAACGUUUAGCGAGAAGAAAGCUUACAAAGAGGUAGAUUUUUUUUAUUUAAAUCUUAGUUAAAACCAUUCUAGAAUAGGUAGUAUCGUUGUAUUCUCUACUUACAUUUCUUAUUUACUAUAUAAGAAUCAACUUUGAGUGUUGAUCUAUGCUAGUAAGAUUUGUGGGGAAGAAUGAAUCAAGUAAUUUCGAUGCACAAUAAUUAAGAAUGAAGGAAAAGUUUAGUAUUGUUAUAUUUAUAAUAUUGUUUGUUAAAUUUGUAUUUUACAAUUGAAAAUUGGGAUAAUGUUUGCUUUUUCAUUUGAAAUAUUGUUUCAUAAUGUUUGCAUUUUCGUUUAAAAUAUUGUGUUUUUGUUUUCAUUGACUUUUUUCAUAAAUUGUUUUAUAUCAAUUUGAUGGAUGAACCUAUAGAAAAUAAUUUAUUUUCGUGGUUAUUAACCGAACCGAACCGUGCUGAACCGAGAUGAUAACCGAACUGAACCGAUUUACGUGGUUAUGGUAUGGUCAAAAAAUUGGUGAUGCGGUUAUGGUUUUGGCCGAACCGACCCAUAACCGAAUAGUUGCCAACCCUAGUGUUUCCAAUUCAGGAUUUCUUCAUAGCAAGAGACGUCUUCCACAGAUUUUGCUCCCUUCAUUAAUCUUUCCAAUCUAUUUUAUUUUGAUUGGGCUGGGUUAAGUACACUUGAAUUGAGUCCUCUCUUAUGGGCCUUGAACUUUGUUAUUUUUGGGCUCCAUUUCUACAAUAAAAUUGUAAAGACCACAAUUAGGAUUGACCUUCAUUCCACUAUAUAAAAAUAUCAUUAUUAAUCCCAAAUAUGCUUGUAUAUUAGCAAAUAAUCAUGAGCAAUCAGCAUUAAAAAUGCAAUCUUAUUCACUCUAUCAAUCCCUCACUUGUUCAAAAACAACAAUGUUCCAUAUUCGAAUUAUACGAUACUCAUGCAUAAGGAUUAGAUAUCUUUCGAUUUGAAUCUGACCAUAGUGUAAUUCAAACGAAGUAAAGUCGAAAUUCAAGGUAGCAUGAAGCUUUGAACCAAGUUUUUCAUGUGACAAUACCGAUAAGAACACACACACGAAUAUCAUGUGCUCUCAAGUUUCUCACUACUCGCUUAGCGCUUUUAUGGCCUUGCGCUUAUCAUUUUCAACAAACUUUUAAGAGAGAUACUCCAACUCUCUAUUAAGGCGACACCACCUUGAAGUUCGUUUAGGUAAAAAUUCUUCCAGUACCUUUGUUACUUUUAGAGGUACUUGUGUUUAGCACUGAACUUUUAUUAAGAGCUUAAGGCUCAACUCUCAUUUCAGUAACAACCAGCAUUAUUUUAUCUAGGAUAGGAUUAUUGUGGAUUUGAAUAAUGCUGCAAUUAUCCAUAUAUCAAAUGACUUGUUAUUACCUUUUGAACCCGUGUAUUACCUUUUGACUAACGACAGGUAGGGUUGCCGUCAUUGGUGGAUAUUUUAGUUAAGGAGUUUCAAUCCUAUCCUACUCGAAGUAGAUGCUACUAAAUCUCUAUUUAGAGGUUUAGUUAAAGGAUCCGCCAAAUUUUCAAUUGACCUUACAUAAUUUAGAAAAACUAUUCCAUCUUUGAUUAAUUUCCUUAUAUAGUUAUGUCUUAAACUCAUAUGUCUAGAUUUUCUAUUAUACACCUCAUUGUAUGCUUUUGCUAAUGUGGCUUGACUAUCACGCGUGAUAGGUAUUGAAGAUAUAUUCUUCGAUCCCAAAGGAAUCUCAUAGAAGAGAUCCUUAAGCCACUCAGCUUCCUUCCCUGUAUCUGAUAGGGCUACAAAUUCUGAUUCCAUGGUCGAGUGUGUUAUGCAUGUUUGUUUCUUUGACUUCCAAGAAACAGCACCUCCUCCUAGAGUGAACACCCAACCCGAGGUGGAUUUACUUUCACCGUGCUAGAUAUCCAACUAGCAUCGAUAAAUCAUUUUAAUACCACUGAAAAUUUAGUAUAUUGUAGACCUAAUUUCUUGGUUUUCUUUAAGUAUCCAAGAACUCUCCCGAUAGCUUUCCAGUGAUCAUUGCUAGUAAACCUACUAAGUUUACUUAUUGCAUAAGCUAUAUACGGUCUUUUGCAUUGAACUGCAUAUAUAAGACUUCCAAUGAUGCUUGCAUAUUCCAAUUGAGCAAUUGCCCUUCCAUCAUUUUUUACUAGUUUUGAACUUAGAUCAAUAGGGGUACUACACUCCUUUAAGUUCAAGUAUUUGAACUUGUUUAUCACAUUCUCGAUAUAAUGUGACUGACUUAGAUGAUAACCCCCCAGUAUUUGAGACUUUGAUACCCAAAAUAGUAUCCACUUGUCCAAGAUCCUUCAUUUUGAAGGUGGAAGAUAGAAACCUCUUCAUUUCUUCUAUACUGUCCAUGUGAUUACUUAUAAUCAACAUGUCAUCAAUAUAUAAGCAUUAAAUAUCAUGUAAUCAUCACAUAUUUUAGAAUAUAAACAUCUAUCUACACUAUUAUGUUUAAACUCCAAUGAUAUUAUUGCUAGGUCAAAUUUCUCAUGCCACUUCUUAGGUGCUUGUUUUAAACCAUUUAGCGAUUUAACUAACUUGCAUACCUUAUCUUCAUUUUCAAGUAGAACAAACCCUUCGGGUUGCUCCAUAUAGAUCUCCUCAUCAAGAUCCCCAUUUAAGAAUACUGUCUUGACAUCCAUUUGAUGAACAUGCAAGUCAUCUAUCGAAGCUAAUGCAAAUAAUAUCCUAAUUGUUGUUAUUCUUGCUACUAGUGCAUAAGUGUCAGAAUAGUCGAUUUCUUUCCUUUGUCGGUAUCCUUUGACUACUAAUCUAGCCUUGAAAGUAUUUAGAGAAACAUCAACAUUAUAUUUUCUCUUAAAUACCCAUUUACAUCCAAUAGGUUUGGAUCCGAGUGGUAGAUCGACAAGUUCCCAAGUUUUAUUAGACAAUAUCGAAUCCAUUUCAUCUUUAAUUGCAUCUUUCCAAAAGAUGCCAUCACGAGAAGUAAUAGUUUCUUUAUAAGUUUUAGGGUCGAUUUCUACUUAUAGAAGAAAAGGAAUUAUUCUUACGACAUUCAACUCAUUUCCUUCUACUAAUUAAAAGGAGAUAAGUUGAUAAUCAAUUUCAUCCGGUCCCAAAGACUUCUCAACUCGAGUUAUCUUACUUCUUCAUAGUUCACUAGACUCAUUAAUAUCUUUAGAAGACAUUUCAUCCCGUGUUCCACUUGAGCUCGGGAUAUUUUCUUGAUUUUUCCUUAAUUCAUUAUCUGAAGAUAACAAAUCUUCAAAGAACUUUAUAUCACUUGAUUCGAUGAUCACAUUGGUCUCAAAAUUUAGCAAUCUAUAAGAUUUGUUAUUGUUAGCAUAUCCAACAAAAGCACAUUUGAUACUUCUUGGACCUAAUUUGGUCCUAUUAGGGUUCGUGUUCUUGCAAUAUGCAAAACACCCCUAUACUUUGAAGUAUUCAAUGUUUGGUUUCCUUCCUUUCCACAAUUCAUAAGGACAAACAUUUGUAUGUUUUGAAGGAAUUAUAUUAAGUAUCCUACAUGCAUUUAACAAAGUUUCACCUCACAAAUUAAAUGGCAACUUAGCAUAUAUAAACAUGGCAUUAAUCAUUUCUACUAAUGUUUUAUUCUUUCUUUCAGCCAAACCAUUUUGUUCGUGUAUCCUAGGUGUGGAACAUUGGUGAAUUAUGCCAUGUUGUUCACAAAACAAAUUAAAAUUACUAGAAAAGUAUUCACCACCUCUGUCACUUCUUAAAAUUUUUAUUUUCUUUCCUAGAUAAUUUUCAACUUCAUUUUUAUUAAUCUUAAACAUGUUAAAAGCUUCAUGUUUAUGUUUCAUUAAAUACACGUAGGUAUAUCUAGAAAAAUCAUCAAUGAAAGUAAUGAAAUAUCUAUUUCCUCCUCUAGUUAACAUGUCAUUUAAUUCACAUAUAUCCGAAUGAAUUAAUUCCAAAAUACUAGAGGUUCUUUUUACACUUUGAUGUGGGUUUUUAAUCAUUUUUUUAUUCUACACAUGUUUUGCAUUUAUAAAUAUUAUUUUCAUCAUAUGAAAUCAAAUCACACUUUUUCAUACGUUUCAUAGUGCUUUUACCAAUGUGUCAUAAUCUAGCAUGCCAUAAUAAAAAUAAUUCAACAACAUAAGUAAAAUUAGAUUUAUUUAUUUCAUUGUUAACGGUACAUAAUUUCACCAUUCCAUCACAAGAAUAGCAUUUUCUAACAAAAUUUCCUUUAAGGGAUAAUACAAGUUUACCGGAUUCAUACACACAUUUGAUACCCGAUUUUCCUAAGAGAUUUCCACUGACCAAGUUCUUAAUCAUUUCUGGAACAUGUAGUAUAUUAGUAAGGGUAAUGAUUUUUCCAGAAGUGAAGAAUAUAUCAACAUUUCCCUUGCCAAUUACUUUGGACCAAACUUCAUUGCCCAUUUGAAUCUCUUGAUCUCCAUCUACUUCUUUAUAGGUUUUGAAUAAAGAUUUAUCAUAUGAUACAUACACUGUAGCACAAGUAUCAUACCACCACCCGGGAACCUUUCCCUUGAUUACAUUUAUUUCGCUUACGGUGGCCACAAUCUUUUCUUCUUGAAUGAAUUUUAUUUUACCGUCGGAGUUGUUUCUUUUCCGGUGUCUACAAUCCUUUGCGUAGUGUCCAGAUUUACCACACACAAAGCAUCCUCAUUUGAUCUUCUUCUUGGACUUGUUAAAGUUCCUUGAAGACUUCCUUUUAUUGGACUUUGUAGGCGGUUCAGAUUUCUUAAAGGCAUUGGCUUUAGAAGUUCCUUCCGAAGAAUUUUCACUUCUAUCACGCAAUAUGGAUUCUUCUUCAAUCCAAAAAUGUUUUUUUAAUUGUUCCAAAGUAUCUUCGGAACUAUGCAUUAUUUUCUUCCGGUAUCCUUUCCAAACCCUUGGGAGUUUAGCAAUUAUAGCCCCCACUUGAAAGGUCUCCAAAAUUUCAAUCUUUACCGCUUUUAAUUUGUUGAGAAUAACUUGUAACUCAUGUAUUUGGGGAAGAAGGAGAAUAUUAUCUAAAAAUUUAAAAUCAAAGCACUUUGAAAUUAAAAAUUUCUUAGUACCUUCUUCUUCCGCUUUAUACUUACUCUCCAAAACAUUCCAAAUUUCCUUUGCCGACGUAGUAUUUGUUUAUAAAUCAUAUAGAUGAUCUGAUAGUGCAUUCAAAAUGUGACCGCGGCAAAUUAAUUCAUCUUCUUGCCUUUUUUGUCUUUCAGCCCUAACUGCUUCGGUUUCUCCAUUUGUGGGUUCCGAUAGAGGCGUCAACUCGGGAUCUAAGAUGUAGAAGAUCUUCAAUGCAAUAAGAAGAAACUUCAAUUUGUCUUGCCAACGCGUGAAAUUUGUGUCAUCGAACCGAUCCAAUCGCACCAAGUCUUGAUUCAUAAGUUUUAUGGUUGACAUUUUAGUUUCGUUCUCCAUAUCAACUUCAAUAUUCGUUUGAGAUUGUUAGAAAUAGUUUCUCCACCAAGGGGUUAGAGAGCGAAUUACAAUUGUAGAUUGAAAGAAAAUUAGAAGAUGAAGAAUAUAAAACGAAUGUAGGAAGGCUAAAACACGAUAUGAGAUUGUUAUCUUCAAACGAAUUUUGCCCCCACUAGAAAAGAUUAUGGUGCUUAAAGGGUCAUCUGGCAAAAUGUUUGAAUGAUUGAUCAAGCCUUGUAAAGAUUCAAACACUAAGCACUUGUUUGAUUCUCUAAGAACUUAAGAACACAAUGGAAAAGGAAUAUGGAAGAAAAUGGUUUUGUUUUUCUUUCUUUUCUCUUGUUUGAUCUUAUAAACAUGUAAAUUACAAGUGUUUUUUUCAUUCUCUUUAGAUGAUCAAAAAUCACCUAAUUUAUAGCCAUGCAACAUAGCUUCACGAAGUGGUGCCAAAAUUAAGUGAAAGGCUGCCAAAAAACCACACAAACCGACUCCAACGAUCACUGAACUUAUACGAUGCGACCGCAUGGUGAAAAUCCAUGCGGUCGCAUGGUUAGUUAGAACCGAGGGGCCUCGGUUGGUUGCCAUGCGGUCGCGUGGUUUUUUGAACAACCAUCACAGUUAGUGCCAACUUCUUUGCAAGAUCCUGUUCCACCUCCUGUGCAAACUCCAAUGGUACAAUCUUCAUUAGUAUUUCCAGAAUACCAGUGGAGUAGGUAGGGCUGAGGAAGCGAAAAACACUGAGUUACUGGAAGGAUGAUUUCUUGUUGGAUACAACAGUCCUCCACAAGAUACACACAUAAAGGAAGGUAAGUAUAAACCUGAAAAAAUUGGAGCAGAUGCUGUCAUAUUAUUUUAAUAUAUAUAUAACCUGGACCCGAGCAAGUUUUCCAUUCAAAAUAUUAUAAUGUUUUAUUAUUUUUAGAUAACGAAAAAAAAAUUGCAAUUUUAUUAUUUUUAGAAAUCAAACCCUACACCAAUAACACAAUGUUUUUUCAUGUUAUUCAAAGUUAAAAUACUUUUAGAAUACACAUAAAAUUAUUAUAGAUUAAUGGCACAAAAGAUGCACAUUUUAUUCUUUUUUUUUUUCGCUUUCUGUAAAAGAUACUAAAAUUAGCACAUAUACUUGUACAGAAGAAGCACAUUUAAUAUUAAUUAUAGAAUACACAUAAAUUCCGUACCAGUAGCUCAGAAUUAGCACCAUGAGUUGCCUGUCUACUACUUUUACAUUAAACUCAAACUCUAGACCAAUAACACAAAGGAAGAUCAUGUUUUUAGGAGCUACUAAUCUUAGAACAAAAGCCUUUUUAAUAUCUCAAAGUUCAAAAACAAACACUGUAAAAAGAUAUAAUUAUAUUAUGUAGGAAAUUAUUUUACCUUAUUACUUUAAGUUGCACUACAAAAAAUUGCUUUAUUACGUGUCCAUUCAAGAAAUUGCACUUGUGGGUCAUGCAUUGCCUCUAAUUUUCCUAUUGUGAUCUACAUAUACACUAAGAAUCACUAGAAGUUUCCACAUGUAUACAUUUCAAAUUCAGCUUAGUUCGGCAUUUUUCCUUGGGAAAAUUGCAGCCGAGGUACCA
rnacentral:lncRNA from 1 species